AUGUAUCUUCAAUUUACUGCUCUUUAUAUUGCGAACUCCAUAUUUUCAGGAGCUGUGCCAUUUCGCGUUUCGGAGCGCGGGAAGCCGCGGCUGGAGGCCGGGGCGGAGGGUGGGGCGGCGACGGGGGUGGCGCCGGAGCCGGACCUUCUCUCGCCGCUCCCCCUCGAGGUUCUCGAUGAGAUCCUCUCCCGCCUUUCACAUCUACGACGUCGUCCGCACCUCGGUGCUCUCCCGCGCGUGGCGGCGCCGGUGGGAGGCGCUCCCCACCGUCAACCUCUUCAGGCAGCCCACCAUCCCCCCGCUAGCGAGGUCGAUGCGCUCCUCCUCCGCCGGACGGCGCCCCUCCGCGCCUUCCGGCUCGUGGGGAACAGCUCCUGGUACAUCGACGCCCUCGACGACUGGCUCCUCUACCUCUCCCGCAACGGCGUCGAGACCCUCGUCCUCUGGUUCCCGCCGGUGGGGUUCCGGCUGCACUCGAGCCUCUUCUCCUGCCGCGAGCUCACCUUCCUCAGCCUUGUCUCCUGCCGCCUGCCGCCCACACCGGCGGGGUUCGCCGGAUUCCCGAGCCUGAAGACGCUACUAUUCGACAAGGUCGCCAUCCCGGAGCACGGGGGUAAGCAAUUGGCGGCCCUAAUCGCCGGAUCUUCGUCAAUUGAGAGAGUGGACUCACAAGAGUAGAGCUCAUUGGGGACGACCCCGAAGCCGAAGAUGAGUGGGUGAUUCAGGCACCCAGCCUUCGAGAGCUGACAAUAACUAGUGGUUUUCCUUACGGGGGCCGUGUUGGGGAACUCCCGCGGUUGCAGAAAGGGGCUCUAGUUGGCUGCAAUUACGCCAAGUUCUUGAUGGGGAUGUCACAGAUUACAGAGCUUGAGUUUGCAUGCGGCCUUGAUUGGUGGGCUGAAGUUGAUGUGCUGGAUCGGUUACCUUUCCUGUUUGAGAACCUGAGGACCUUAAUCAUUUCCAUUGAUUUUACUGAGAUGUUCGCAAUUUUAUAUUUUUUCUGCCUACUAAGAAGUGCUCCUGUUCUUGAAGAACUCAUUGUUUGUGGAUGGAGCACUGGUUCACAGGUAGUCAAUGCAGAUGACAAGUUUUUGAAUGCUCAGUUCGUUGAUGGUAUGUUUGGCAAACUUCGUGUUGUGCGAAUGAACAAUAUUCUAUGCUUCUCUAAUGAAAUGUACUUCGUGGAGUUCAUUCUAUCCAAGGCAAGAGUUUUGCAAGUGCUAUCUGUUAGGCUUGGUCCUGAUGCCCUAUGCAGUAAUGAGGCAGCAGUUAUUGCUAUAAAGGAAUAUCCAAAAGCUUCACCUGAUGCGCAAGUCAUCUUUUUGGGUAGCGAAUCUACAAAUACUGGCCCUAUCAAUACCUCCACUGAGAAUGCUGAGGUGGGAGAGGUACAGACAACAGGCAGAGAGCAUGACUCUAUCGACACACCUCCUGAGAAUGCUGAGGUGGAAGAGACACGUACAGAAGACGGCAAGUGUGGCUCUAUCUCUACAGCCACUGAGAAUGAUGAGGCGGAAGAGACACAGACAACAGGCAGCGGGUGUGUGUCUAUCAAAAUGUCCACUGAAAAUGCUAAGGUGGAUGAGAUACAGACAACAGACAGCGAGCAUGAAUCCAUCAAUAUGUCCACGGAGAAUGCUGAGGUUGAAGAGACACAGAUAGCAGACAGUGGGCUGGUGAACGGUGUACACCCUCGGAGACAGCAACGACUGGAUCUGGAGUCUGUAGCACAGCUGGAGCAGCUCAAGGUGGAUAUGCACGAACUGCAGGAGAAGGUGCGGCUGCAGCUUGACUGCAGGAGAUUGAAGCUUGAGAGUAGAACACAGGUGCUUAAUACUGUCAUUGAGAAUCUAAAGUACCAAUCUUGGUUCAAGGAGUUGUCUGAGCGUACCAAUAUUAGUCUGCCACCGUUUCCUGAGCCUUCAUCUGUCCUAUCAUCACUUUUGGCCACAUCCAGAACUGAAGAUUCUCCUGUCAAUCUUGGUGUCAAUGGUGCUGCACGUGUGGGUGUGAAUUCCUCAGAAGAUCAUGGUGUAAAUGGUGCUGAUAAUGCUCACCUAGAUCCCCGAGAAGAUACCAUCAAUGAUGCUAGCAUGGCUGCUGCUGAUGCUCGUACCAUCGAUGGUGCUAGCAUGGCUCAUGCCAGUUCUUCAGAACAUGCAUAAAUGAUGCUUCUGCUGAUGCUCCUUUAUUACGGGGCAACGGCUGCCAAUGCUCAUGUGGAUUAUCCAGAAGAAGACCAUGGAGUAAGUAGCGCUUCCAAUGCUCAAGUGGAUUCUUCAGGUGACCAAUGUUGCCAAUGGUGCUAUCACCCUCAAUUAUGAGCAUGCCGUGUCUGAUGAUUGGUUUCGUGAGUCCAGUCCUCUCGCGACUUGGAUGUUUCUGUGCUUGCCAAUUCAGUUUGUUGAUGCCAUAUACUCUUAUAAUGAACAAAUGUACGAUUUGCUUCCAUCGUGAACUAUUCUUGACAAUGCAUCCGGCAUUUGUUGACCUGUUUAAAUUGAUAUGACUUGCUGGUUGUCUCUGAAUCUGACAUCCAAUAUUGUUGACUAUUGAUAGUAACAAGACCAAUAGGAAUUGUGA